UUACCCGCUGAACUUAGCAUAUCAAUAAGCGGAGGAAAAGAAACCAACAGGGAUUGCCCUAGUAACGGCGAGUGAAGCGGCAACAGCUCAAAUUUGAAAUCUGGCCCCCGGGUCCGAGUUGUAAUUUGUAGAGGAUGCUUUUGGUGCGGUACCUUCCGAGUGCCCUGGAACGGGACGCCAUAGAGGGUGAGAGCCCCGUCUGGUUGGACGCCAAUCCUUUGUAAAGCUCCUUCAACGAGUCGAGUAGUUUGGGAAUGCUGCUCUAAAUGGGAGGUAUAUGUCUUCUAAAGCUAAAUAUUGGCCAGAGACCGAUAGCGCACAAGUAGAGUGAUCGAAAGAUGAAAAGCACUUUGAAAAGAGAGUUAAAAAGUACGUGAAAUUGUUGAAAGGGAAGCGCUCAUGACCAGACUUGGGCUUGGUUGAUCAUCCAGGGUUCUCCCUGGUGCACUCUUCCGGCCCAGGCCAGCAUCAGUUCGCUGUGGGGGAUAAAGGCUUCGGGAAUGUGGCUCCCUCGGGAGUGUUAUAGCCCGUCGUGUAAUACCCUGUGGCGGACUGAGGUUCGCGCAUUCGCAAGGAUGCUGGCGUAAUGGUCAUCAGCGACCCGUCUUGAAACACGGACCAAGGAGUCGUCUUCGUAUGCGAGUGUUCGGGUGUCAAACCCCUACGCGUAAUGAAAGUGAACGCAGGUGAGAGCUUCGGCGCAUCAUCGACCGAUCCUGAUGUUCUCGGAUGGAUUUGAGUAAGAGCAUACGGGGCCGGACCCGAAAGAAGGUGAACUAUGCCUGUAUAGGGUGAAGCCAGAGGAAACUCUGGUGGAGGCUCGCAGCGGUUCUGACGUGCAAAUCGAUCGUCAAAUAUGGGCAUGGGGGCGAAAGACUAAU
rnacentral:rRNA from 1 species